UCCUUUUGUGUUCAUAAACCUUGUGUUUAAAUUUCAUUGAUUUCUAUUUACUUAUACUAAAGUUAUUGUACGAAAACCAAGAAUAAUGCUUAUUUGGGCCCUUUUUUGGCCCCUAAUUCCUAAACUGUUGAAACCAAAACUCCCAAAAUCAAUCCCAACCUUCCUUUUGUGGUCAUAAACCUUGUGUCAAAAUUUCAUAGAUUUCAAUUUACUUAAACUAAAGUUAUAGUGCGAAAACCAAGAAAAUGCUUAUAUGGGCCCUUUUUGGCCCCUAAUUCCUAAAAUGCUGGGACCAAAACUCCCAAAAUCAAUCCCAACCUUCCUUUUGUGGUCAUAAACCUUGUGUUAAAAUUUCAUAGAUUUCUAUUCACUUUUACUAAAGUUAGAGUGCGAAAACUAAAAGUAUUCGGACGACGACGACGACGACGCCAACGUGUUAGCAAUAUACGACGAAAAAUUAAAAUUUUUGCGGUCGUAUAAAAAAUGAAUUAUAACCUCAGCAUGAGAUCGAAAUUUACUUCAUUCAAAACUUUGAUAAAUAUACACGUGAUAAUAAACAAUAGCUAAUCUAUAUGGUGGGUUUUUGUUCGAUGUUGAAGGCCAAAGGUGCUUGACAUUGUCUUAUUUUUAGUCAUUUGUAUGAAAUUUCAUGUGUCUUUCAAAGCUUGUCUCGUUUUCAAACACUCUAGAACACACAUGACACUUAUAAUAGUUAACAACUGUAUGUGACUUUAUGUGAUAUUCUAAGCUUGCCUCGUGUUUAAACUCUUCACAACAUACAUCACAUUUAUAAGAUUUAAAACCUGAAUGUAAUUUAAUGUGUUUAUCAAAACUUG
rnacentral:lncRNA from 1 species